rnacentral:sRNA from 2 species
AUACAUGGCUUCUAGGGUUCCGGCAGCUUCCAGGUAAUUCCAAAAGAAUUUCAGAUCGCUGUGACUGGUCCGAGAGAAGCAAGCUGAUGACUCAGUGGCAUGACCAGUGGAUUUAUCCCCAAUUCUCUGGCCUUGAAAACCAGCUUUGAGCAUCAGCUACACGGCGGGAUAAAAGCCCGGGAGGU